GGAGAGGUGUCCGAGUUCGGCUUAAGGAGCACGCCUGGAACGCGUGUGUGCCGAAAGGUACCGUGGGUUCGAAUCCCACCCUCUCCGCCA
rnacentral:tRNA from 2 species